rnacentral:rRNA from 1 species
CCUACGGGUGGCAGCAGUGAGGAAUAUUGGUCAAUGGGCGAGAGCCUGAACCAGCCAAGUCGCGUGAGGGAGUACUGCCCUAUGGGUUGUAAACCUCUUUUGUCGGGGAGCAAAAGCAGGACGUGUCCGGCUGUGAGAGUACCCGAAGAAAAAGCAUCGGCUAACUACGUGCCAGCAGCCGCGGUAAUACGGAGGAUGCGAGCGUUAUCCGGAUUUAUUGGGUUUAAAGGGUGCGCAGGCGGAUUUUUAAGUCAGCGGUAAAAUCGUGGGGCUCAACCCCAUCCAGCCGUUGAAACUGGGGAUCUAGAGUGUGCGAGAGGUAUGCGGAAUGCGUGGUGUAGCGGUGAAAUGCAUAGAUAUCACGCAGAACCCCGAUUGCGAAGGCAGCAUACCGGUGCACAACUGACGCUCAGGCACGAAAGCGUGGGUAUCGAACAGGAUUAGAUACCCUUGUAGUC